AUAUCUCUCUGUACGGGAAGGAUGAGAAGCUUCUACCAGGGUUCGAUUCGAGCGCAGCGAGAAAGCGUUGCCGCAGGCAACGACCCGA
rnacentral:sRNA from 4 species